GUGCCGCUGGUCGAGUCUUGUGGAGAAGCAAGGCGAGUCGGGCAUCAUCUCACUUGUGCCGCUGUGGGUGACAGAGGAAGCCAUGUUGCUGUUUUGUUUGUUCCCAGCCUUGACUAUGGUGGUCCAGCGAGUCCGGCAUGUCGUCAUUUUCUUGUAAAGCAGUAUUGUAUCACACUUGUAGAGCUCGUUACACAUGUAGAGCUUGUAAAGUACUGUAUUGCACAUGGUCAUAUGUAUUGGCAAUGUGAUCUGGUUGCUCUUAUUUGAAGUAUCAUGUGUGCUUUUUGUCUGCCAAUUUAAAUAUUAGUUGAAAUAUGAAGAAUAUGAGCCUGA